AUGAGACGUGCAUUGCACGUGCAAGCUUACUAUGCUCUCAAAAGGAAAACGUUUGGGGCCGGCAGCCCUGCCGAGCUUUUCGUCGACUCACGUGCCACGAAAGACCCAUCCCGUGGAGAUACGUGUACAUGGUGGGUUCCGCGUGACUAUUAUUAUUUUUCUUUCACCUCCAGCCGUCGCGGCUCUACUCCUCCACGGCCUCCCUCAUGUUGCUCGCAAGCUCUAGAAGCUCCCUCACUGACGGCGAAGUGCUCAUGUGCGACGGCGCCCAAUGUUGCCUCUCCUUCAUGGCCGGCGAACCCCUCUCCCAUCCUUCCUCCUCAAUUCGGAUCCCCGCUAUCUCCCCAUGCCCAUGGCCGCCUCCAAUCCUCGGGAUCUCAACAAUGGCCUCUUCCCAACUAUGGCUUCGAGUCCCCGAGGGCGAAGCUACGGGAACCGUCUAUCAGGGCGCUGCAACCGGAGCUGCAAGGCUGCAACUACGGGCACACGUUGGACGGCGAGGAUGAGGCGAUGCUGCUCAGAGGAAAAAACUAA
rnacentral:rRNA from 1 species